AUACAUGAGAGUAGAAACACCAAAUAUAAUCAGUUGAAUGUUGAUCAGAAGACAACUUACAUUCAGAAGGUCAUUGAUAAUAGUAGAAAGAGGAAAAGGAAUGAUAUUGCUGGCAGUAGUACUAAUAGCAAGGGAAAACGUAAGAUUGAUUUGUUUUGUGGAGCGCAAUAGCGAGAAUAUGACCAUGGAGGUUUGCAUAGAUUAAUUCGUACUUUUUCUUGAUGAAUGAUGUCUCAGGAAUUUGUUUUCAGGGCUAUUUGGCAUCCGGCAAGCAGAUAUGUUCAAGGAAUUAAUGAUCUUGUCACACCAUUUCUCAUGGUAUUUUUAUCGAAGCAUCUUGAAGGCGGCAUGGAUAACUGGUCGAUGUUCUCUCUUUCUCCAGAAAAUAUAUCUAACAUAGAAGCCGACUGCUAUUGGUGUCUUUCAAAAUUGCUUGAUGGUAUGCAAGAUCAAUACAAAUUUGCUCAGCCAGGAAUUCAACGACUUGUCUUCAAAUUGAAGAAACUGGUUCGGCGAAUAUAUGAACCUGUUUCAAGACAUAUGGAGGACCAAGGCCUCGAGUUUCUUCAGUUUGCUUUUCGUUGGUUCAAUUGUCUCUUGAUACGUGAGAUCCCAUUUCAUCUUGUUACGCGUUUGUGGGAUACAUACCUUGCUGAAGGGGAUGCAUUACCAGAGUUUCUCGUGUACAUAUCUGCCAGUUUUCUGUUGACAGUUAAGGACUUCACCCCAUGUAAGAGCAGCAUCUACACGUUGAAGGGAAGAUUCACAAGAGCCUUAAUAUUCAUGCUAAGGACAUGUUCUACUUAGGUAUUUCAUUGGACCUGAAGCCUCCAGCAGCUGAUGUUGCUGCUAUCAAGGAAAGGUUAUUUUAAGCUAACAUGAUGCGA